rnacentral:rRNA from 1 species
UUAUUCGAUAUUCAGAAUUUAUUCUAUAAAUGGAUAACCGUAGUAAUUCUAGAGCUAAUACAUGCGUUACGGGAGACUUUACGGAAUCCCAGUAUUUAUUAGAUUUAUCAAACCAAUAUUCCGCAAGGUCUAUUUGUUGAUUCACAAUAACUUUUCGAAUCGCUGGGUUGUACCCGCGAUAAAUCGUUCAAGUUUCUGCCCCAUCAGCUUGAUGGUAGUGUAUUGGACAACCAUGGCUUUCACGGGUAACGGGGGAUUAGGGUUCGAUUCCGGAGAGGGAGCCUGAUAAACGGCUACCACUUCUACGGAAGGCAGCAGGCGCGUAAAUUACCCAAUCCUGAUUCAGGGAGGUAGUGACAAGAAAUAAUGAACUGGGAUUUAUCCUGGAUUUAUAAUGGGCGUGACUUACAAACCUUUUUAGCGAGGAACGAUUGGAGGGCAAGUCUGGUGCCAGCAGCCGCGGUAAUUCCAGCUCCAAUAGCGUAUAUUUAAGUUGUUGCAGUUAGAAAAGGCUCGUAGUUGGAUUUCUGGAGGUGGCGACAGGCGCGUGGUCAAGGCUACGCCCAGUCUACUCCUUCAUCCUUCUGUUAACGUUGCUCGGCAUUCAGUUGUCGACUUCGGGCUCAGAUAUUUUACCAUUUUAUUUUUGAGCAAAUUAGAGUGUUUCAGGCAGGCGUGCGCCGGAAUACAUUAGCAUGGAAUAAUCGAACAGGACCGUGUUCCUUUUGUUGGUUUACUAAGGGCAUGGUAAUGAUUAAUAGGGAUAGUUGGUUUACUAAAAGGGGUGGCAUUAGUAUUUAAGGUUCAGAGGUGAAAUUCUUUGACAUAAUUAAAGACUAACUUAUGCGAAAGCAUUUGUCAAGAAUGUUUUCAUUAAUCAAGAACGAAAGUUAGGGGAUCAAAGACGAUCAGAUACCGUCCUAGUCUUAACCAUAAACUAUGCCGACUAGGGAUCGGAAGGCGUGCACAUUCCGCCUUCGGCACCUUACGAGAAAUCAAAGUCUUUGGGUUCCGGGGGGAGUAUGGUCGCAGGCUGAAMCUUWAAGGAAUUGACGGAAGGGCACCACCAGGAGUGGAGCUUGCGGCUCAAUUUGACUCACACGGGAAAACUUACCAGGUCCAGACUU